UGCGGCGUGCUAUACAUGCAAGUCGAGCGGACAGAAGGGAGCUUGCUCCCGGAUGUUAGCGGCGGACGGGUGAGUAACACGUGGGUAACCUGCCUGUAAGACUGGGAUAACUCCGGGAAACCGGAGCUAAUACCGGAUAGUUCCUUGAACCGCAUGGUUCAAGGAUGAAAGACGGUUUCGGCUGUCACUUACAGAUGGACCCGCGGCGCAUUAGCUAGUUGGUGAGGUAACGGCUCACCAAGGCGACGAUGCGUAGCCGACCUGAGAGGGUGAUCGGCCACACUGGGACUGAGACACGGCCCAGACUCCUACGGGAGGCAGCAGUAGGGAAUCUUCCGCAAUGGACGAAAGUCUGACGGAGCAACGCCGCGUGAGUGAUGAAGGUUUUCGGAUCGUAAAGCUCUGUUGUUAGGGAAGAACAAGUGCAAGAGUAACUGCUUGCACCUUGACGGUACCUAACCAGAAAGCCACGGCUAACUACGUGCCAGCAGCCGCGGUAAUACGUAGGUGGCAAGCGUUGUCCGGAAUUAUUGGGCGUAAAGGGCUCGCAGGCGGUUUCUUAAGUCUGAUGUGAAAGCCCCCGGCUCAACCGGGGAGGGUCAUUGGAAACUGGGAAACUUGAGUGCAGAAGAGGAGAGUGGAAUUCCACGUGUAGCGGUGAAAUGCGUAGAGAUGUGGAGGAACACCAGUGGCGAAGGCGACUCUCUGGUCUGUAACUGACGCUGAGGAGCGAAAGCGUGGGGAGCGAACAGGAUUAGAUACCCUGGUAGUCCACGCCGUAAACGAUGAGUGCUAAGUGUUAGGGGGUUUCCGCCCCUUAGUGCUGCAGCUAACGCAUUAAGCACUCCGCCUGGGGAGUACGGUCGCAAGACUGAAACUCAAAGGAAUUGACGGGGGCCCGCACAAGCGGUGGAGCAUGUGGUUUAAUUCGAAGCAACGCGAAGAACCUUACCAGGUCUUGACAUCCUCUGACAACCCUAGAGAUAGGGCUUUCCCUUCGGGGACAGAGUGACAGGUGGUGCAUGGUUGUCGUCAGCUCGUGUCGUGAGAUGUUGGGUUAAGUCCCGCAAC
rnacentral:rRNA from 1 species